GCCUGGAUGGCUCAGUCGGUUGAGCGUCCGACUUGGGCUCAGGUCAUGAUCUCGCGGUCCGUGAGUUCGAGCCCCUCGUCAGGCU
rnacentral:tRNA from 1 species